GGCUUAAAGAGCCGCGGUAUUUUGACCGUGCAAAGGUAGCAUAAUCAUUAGUUUUUUAAUUGGAAACUCGUAUGAAUGGUUAAACAAAAGAAUCUCUGUCUUUUUAUCUAAUAUUGAACUUAACUUUUAAGUGAAAAGGCUUAAAUCUUUUAAGGGGACGAUAAGACCCUAUAAAGCUUUAUAAUGAAAUAAUAUUUUUUUGAAUAAAUUUUAUAAAAAAUAAAUAAAAUAACCUUAUUUUGUUGGGGCGACAUAGAUAUAAAUAUAUAAUUUAACUGUCAUAAUAUAAUACAUAAAUAUUUGAAUUAAAUAUAAAUGAUCCUUUUUUUAAAGAUUAAAAGACUAAGUUACUUUAGGGAUAACAGCGUUAUUUCUUUUGAGAGUUCUUAUUGAAAAAGAAGUUUGCGACCUCGAUGUUGAAUUAAAAAAUCUUUAUAGUGCAGCCGUUAUAAAAAGAAGGUCUGUUCGACCUUUAAAUUUUUA
rnacentral:rRNA from 1 species